UGGCUUUUAUCCUAAUCCAAGUUCUUAUUCGUUUACUUGCUAGUCUUCAGCCAUCGCCACUGUCUCUUUGUUUCCCACCAAUUUUGUGUUCUUUCAUUCUAUUUCACUAUUCCAAUCCGAGUUUGGAACUCAGAGAUUUUCUCGGUUCUCUUUCGGAUCUCUCACAUUUUAAUCCCCAAGUUUCUGUGUGCAAUUGGAAGGUUUAAUGGUUUUCAGGGAUUUGAUUUCGUAGCUUUGAAGUUUUGUGUAGGGAGAAUCAAAUUUCCCUUGUAAACUAUGGAUAGGAUUGGAUCCUUCAAUCACCAUACUGCAUCAAAUGGUUUCCAGAAUUCUUGUAAUAGGGAUACCGAAUUUGGCGCCAAUGAUAGGAGGUUCGCUUUCUCACGUCAAGCUUCGUCUAUGCAAUGGCAAGAGCCGUCCCAUCCACCGAUUUCUACCAACUCCGAUGAGUUGGCCAAGCCUUUGCUUUCGCGGAGUAUGUCGAGCAUAAACAUUCCGCCUGGGAGAUACUUUUCUUCCGAAAGUAAUAACUUCUUUGGUGUAAAGGAUAAUUCAGGUGAUAAAUUAUCGGUUUUAUCACUCGCAUUUUCGAUUUUAGAGAAUGUGAGAUCUGGGAAUUUGUAUAUGAAGAGGUUGUUUAUUAUGAUUUUUCUCAAUGUCCUGUAUUCGACUGCCGAGUUAGCUACUGGUCUCCUUAGUGGCCGUAUUGGCCUGGUUUCUGAUGCAUUUCAUUUGACUUUUGGCUGUGGUCUUUUGACAUUUUCAUUGUUUUCCAUUGCUGCCUCUCGGAGUAAGCCUGAUCAUGUUUACACUUACGGGUACAAGAGACUAGAGGUUUUGGCUGCCUUUACGAAUGCUCUAUUUCUUCUGUUUCUGUCUUUCUCGUUAGCAGUGGAAGCGCUCCAUGCAUAUAUACAAGAUGAAUCUGAGCACAAGCACUACUUAAUUGUCUCAGCCGUAACAAAUUUAACAGUUAAUCUUAUAGGUGUUUGGUUCUUCAGGAACUAUGCUCGCAUUAAUCUUGUGUACAGAAAAGCUGAAGAUAUGAACUACCAUUCAAUUUGCUUGCAUGUUCUUGCAGAUUCUAUCCGCAGUGCAGGUCUGAUAUUGGCGUCAUGGUUUUUGUCUCUUGGGGUUCAAAAUGCUGAAGUCUUGUGCCUAGGACUGGUUUCGGUUGCAGUCUUUAUGAUUGUCAUGCCGCUCUUUAGAGCAACCGGUGGUGUUUUACUUCAAAUGGUACCACCUAGCAUUCCAACUUCGGCAUUAAGCAAAUGUUUGAGACAGAUUACAUCCUUGGAAGACGUAUUAGAAGUCACUCAAGCGCGAUUUUGGGAAUUAGUACCCGGUCAAGUUGUUGGCUCACUCUCUCUAACGAUAAAGAAAGGAACGGACAAUCGCCAAACACUUGAAUUUGUGCAUGGUGUGUAUCAUGAAUUGGGCAUUCUGGAGUUAACAGUGCAAAUAGAAGAUGCUUGAGUUUCUGCUGCUCCAUAGUUCUUUUCAGUCCCCCAUAUCGUCAAUGAUGGUCAUAUCUUUAGCUUACACAUUCUACCUCAAAUUUUCGAGAAUCUACAUUAGGCUUAUGAUAAAUACCAAUUAUCUCAAACAUGUUCCUCAGUGUUGAUGGUUUCAAGGGAAGGGUGACAUCAAAAGCUAUGGUGAGGUGUUUAUGGGCAGAGGAAGGUCCCAGGUAUACAAACUAUACAUUCAUUCAUCAACAACACAAUGGCUUGUAUUAAAGCAUAGUAAGAGUAUCACUACUCAUUGAUUCCUUUAUGCUAUGACUGUUUGAUGAGUUUAGAAAUCAUAGAAGAAUGUUGUGAUGCAAGGGAUCCAUAAACUUGUAGUUCUAGGUUUCAUGUACCAUUACAUUGGGCUGCUCAAGGCAAUGAUAUAAUGCCUACUUGCUAAG